rnacentral:rRNA from 1 species
UACAGAGGGGGCAAGCGUUGUUCGGAAUUACUGGGCGUAAAGGGCGCGUAGGCGGCCCGCUAAGUCGAACGUGAAAUCCCCGAGCUCAACUCGGGAACUGCGUCCGAUACUGGCGGGCUUGAAUCCGGGAGAGGGAUGCGGAAUUCCUGGUGUAGAGGUGAAAUUCGUAGAUAUCAGGAGGAACACCAGUGGCGAAGGCGGCUUCCUGGACACCAACUGACGCUGAGACGCGAAAGCGUGGGGAGCAAACAGGG